rnacentral:lncRNA from 1 species
AUGUCUUUCUUCAGUUGCAUUUUCAGUUUCUUUUUGCUGUGGGUUUGUAGGUGGCCAUUCCACUUCAAGAUCACACAAACCAUGGCUGCCUGGAACUUACCUUGUCACUCACACAUGAGGAAGUCUUGCUCUUCCAUCAGAGGUAACACAAUUGCCAGAAAGAUUUGUAUUUCUUUGAGCCUGACAAAGGCACAGUGGGACCAAUGCAGCUGCUUCAGGUGUGGAGGAGCAGGGAAAAGCCUGAGGACAGAGAAAUACAUUUGGUGUAUUUUUAGAACCAUAGAUAGAUCUACAGAAGACUGGACCGCAGUGCCCUAA